AAGGCGCCUGCUCAGCGACUGAUGCACAGACUGCUGCAGAGGCUGCCGGUUUUCCCAACUUCUAGAGACGGCUUUGCUCAUUACCAGGCAUCCUUCCCAUGUAGGCAUCGAGAAGAAGGCUGAGGGACCCUCGCACCAGAUUUCCAUCCCGGAGACCGAUACGAGUGCGUCCAUUCCUGUUGCCAGCUCCUGCGCCCUCCGGACUAACCUCAAAAACCAGAAAAACUGCCUGCUCUUCUAAAUUGUGUGUCCCAAAAUAUUUCAUUAACAAGUAUCAAGUGAUAAUCCAUGGAAAAGUGAUGGAAAGUCACAAUACAAGCUGGUUUGUAAAUAUUUGAAUCACAUUAUGGGAUUGCUAGACAGACUUUCAGUCUUGCUUGGCCUGAAGAAGAAGGAGGUUCAUGUUUUGUGCCUUGGGCUAGAUAAUAGUGGCAAAACGACGAUCAUUAACAAACUUAAACCUUCAAAUGCUCAAUCUCAAAAUAUCCUUCCAACAAUAGGAUUCAGCAUAGAGAAAUUCAAAUCAUCCAGUUUGUCAUUUACAGUGUUUGACAUGUCAGGUCAAGGAAGAUACAGAAAUCUCUGGGAACACUAUUAUAAAGAAGGCCAAGCUAUUAUUUUUGUCAUUGAUAGUAGUGAUAGAUUAAGAAUGGUUGUGGCCAAAGAAGAACUCGAUACUCUUCUGAAUCAUCCAGAUAUUAAACACCGUCGAAUUCCAAUCUUAUUCUUUGCAAAUAAAAUGGAUCUUAGAGAUGCAGUGACAUCUGUAAAAGUGUCUCAGUUGCUGUGUUUAGAGAACAUCAAAGAUAAACCCUGGCAUAUUUGAUGCUAAAACUGAAGACAGAAGAGUUCAAUGACCUAGUCAAGCUCCCUCAGCUAAUAAGAAAAUGAUUGAGAUCUACCGACUUUUUGUUUUACUCUACCAGCUUACCAAACCUAUAAUUAUGGGUUUUUAUCCUAAAGAUAUCAAAUUCCAUUUCAAACAAAGGCACACCAUAAUAUGGCUGUAUUAUAACUCAAGUCAAGCAUUUCUAAUAAUGAGAUUGAAUGAUUGGAACUGAGCAAAGUAGGAUAGUGGGCUGUACAAAACUUUUCUACCACUGGAAAAAUAAAAGUAUUUGUUUUGUUAAUGUCAGUGUAAGAACUAAUCCUGGGAUAAAAUAACUUUUUUCAAAAUCUGUUUAUAAAUUGUAAACAUAUCUUGUUCCUGAGCACUCAGACUUUUAUUUUCUGUUUAUUUUCAAUUUCAAUGCUUAACCAGUUUUGCUCAGAUAUAUGUUGUUAUAAUGUGUUAAUUCUCCAUAUGGCAAAAUUGUAAUCCUUUAUUCUUAUAGUUUUGUGAUGUAAUGAGAUGGCUAUGUUUCUUAUGGAUUUCAUUUCAGUGCUAGUGAUGCCAUAAAAGGAGAAGGCUUGCAAGAAGGUGUAGACUGGCUUCAAGAAAAAACAAUACAAUCAGAUCCAGACUGUGAAGACAUGAAAAGAUAAUAGUUGGAAACCUCAGCAAUUUUCAAUUCAAGGAAUCUAUCUAAGACAAAUAGAAUACAUUUUGUAAAAGAUGUUUAUGCAUCAAAAAAUAUAAUUUUCUGCUUGCAUUUAUGGACUCUGACCUUUUUAAGAACAUAGGACUUCAGGUAUGCUAAUUUGGCCAUUAAUUAUUUAAAAACUAAAUAUUCCCUCAAAAGGGCUCCCUAGAAUUAUCAAGUUCUUAGUGAAGGUCUACAUUUGAUUGUACGUAGAAUGUUUAAAAGUCAGUUAUAAGCCAUCUCAUCCCAUCAUAAUUUAUGAUAUGUUUAAUAUAUUUUAUUUUUUAAUUGUCUUUUUAAAAAAUUUAGUUUAUGACUUUGCAGUAUGAAUUGUGCUUGUGAAAAAGAACUUUAAAUAUUUAUAAGGGACCAUGGGUAAUUAAUAUAUAUUCAAUUUUUACUAUGUGUCACUGUCAAUAAAAUGUAAAAUAUAAUGUGCCAACUAGUGCGCUUUGUUUAUGCUGAAAAGAAUAAUGCUCUGUUAGUAUGGUAUUUCGUGUCAUACUGUCAAGCAUUUGUAAACCAUCUGAGACUAAGUUAAGCUGAAUUUAUUUAUUCAGUGUAUGUUGAACAUCUCUACACCAACUAGUCAGACAUAGUCCUAGGCAAUGAUGUUACGAGGUAAAUAAGACAUAUCCUUAUCUUCAGAGAACUUAAAAUUUAAUGAGGGAUAAUUUGAGAACCUUUCCAUGGAUAGUAUCUAAUUUUAUUUCAUUGGCUGAAUGAAAAUAUUGCAUCUUCAGAUUAAGAGGUAUAAAGUAAAUUAAUAUUUGACUGUUCAGUAAUCAUUACUGACAUCUUGUUUUUCACUUUUAAAUGCCUCCAAUUUACCAUAGCACUUUGUUAAAAUAAAUUGUGACUUUUAACUUUUUCAUGAACAUAACUGCUACAUAAAUGUUCUUUAGAAUUUUAGACAUAUCUCAGGCACACAAAUUAUUAGUUCUCACAAAUUAGAGAACACUUAUAAUUGUGAACUCUAAAUAGAAACCUUCAUUUUAAUCACUGAGCAACAGUAUAUAGAGCAAUAUUGUUGAUCCUGAUAAACACUGCAUAUAAAGAAAAACUGUAAUAUACAAUAUAUACCAUCUCAAGUAUGCUUAGCUUUGAAAAUGAUGAAAAUAGAAGGCAAAAGUAAGUGAGUAAUAAAGAUGUUAUAGUAACUGCAGUAGUGGUACAUGUUUCACAAAGAUUUUAAUAAAAGCACAUAAAGCUACAAUAAAAGUUCUAUAUUCCAGUUUCUUAUAGUCCAGAAAUAGCAGUGAUUUGGCAUUUGGCAAAUUGAAAGUUACCCAGAAAAUUCCAAUGGCUCAGCAUCUUAGCUAGUUUACCAUCUCUCUUGUAAAUUGUUUUAGAGGAUACAAAAUGAAAAUCUCAUUAAUCUAAAGUUGCUGCAGAUAUAGGAAGGACAUAAGGAUGGAAACAAUGAAUGUAAUUUUUUAAAAAACUGAUAUGCUACAACUAUUUUAGGAUGGAGAAAGAAUUGAUUGAGAAUUCAAAUCCUCACUCACUUACCAUAAGGUAGUAAUAAAAUUAAUAAUAGUUACUACUAUAUGAUCAUUAUAUUAUAAGCAGGUAUUACACAUACAGAAUUUUCAACAUUUAAUCCUCCCAAUAAGCCUAUGUGGCAGGUUUUAUUAUUUCCAUUUUAUAGAUCAGUAAACUGAGGCGUUAAAAUGUUAUGUAAUUUGCCAAAGUUCAAAAAGCUGGUAAGUCUGGUACUAGGAUUCAGUACCAAGCAGUCUGUUUUAAGACAGAUGAUUCAAGAGUAUGAUAGAUAUUAGAAAUACAGAUAUAUCUGCCAGAAUAACAAUUAAAAUGAUAGAAAAGGCUCUUACUUGGGACAGCAACCAGGACAGGGAUGGUAGAGGGAAGGUCAGAGACUAGAGACUACUCUUUGCUUUUUUUGUUUUCUUUUUUUUUCUUUUAAAGCUAUUAACACUACUCAAAUUUUAAACUCUGGAUACAAAUGACUUUGAUAAAAGUCCUUAAAACUAUUUUGACAUUAAAUUAUUUGGUAUUCCACAAACUACAGUAGCUCAUACCUAUGCAAAUAUUUAGAAGAAGGAGAAGUACCCUUUUUCUUUGUUUUCAUGAUCUCCAAAAUCUAGUUUUUAGUCUAUAAACAUCCAUCCCUACUCCACAUUUUCAUGUAAAGAUUAUGUAGAAGUUGGGCAACAGUGUAGUCACAGGAUGUCAUAUAAGUGUGAAUAAGCUGAGAUUAUUGCAUUUGUAUUUAGCAUAUUAUACAAUUAAAAUGUAUUUUAUUAAACCUGAAGCAAGUUUUCUUUCAUGUCUAGACAUCAGUGUGUUACAGAGUUUAAUUCAUUAAGCUCUGUAUUUGAAUAUAACACCUUGUAAAAAUGUUUGAAACUUAUCCUCUUGUAUGUUAAAUAUUUAAAUAUUUGUAUAUGGCCCUAUUCAGCCUGUGCUUUAUAAAUCACAAAAGAGCUGGGUUUUAUAUGUUUGUUUUUUAUUUCUAAGCUCUCUGCGAAAAAGUUACAAAUUGUCUCCUUAAGAUAUUUUUUCUUUGUAAUUUUUUUAUAUCAUGUUGUGAUUUCCAUAAAUAUGUGCAGUUACUCUUGAUAAUACUUGUCUUAUUCAUUUCAGGUUGCUAUAACAAAGUACCAUAGACUGGGUGGCUUAUAAACGACAGAAAUUUAUUUCUUACAGCUCUGGAGCUGGAAGUCUGAGAUCAGAUUACCAGCAUGGUUGGGUUCUGGUGAGAGCCGUCUUGGUUGCAGACUGCCAUCUUCUUGUAUCCUCACAUGGCCAAAAGAGGACAAGAGAACUCUCUGGAGUCUGUUUGAUAAGAGCAUGAAUCCCAUUACAUCUUCACAUGGCUCCUCCCAAAGACCCCACCUCCUAAUAUCAUCACAUGUCAUCACAUAGGGGGUUAGAAUUUCAACAUAGAAAUUUUGGGAGAACACAAACAUUCAGUCAGUUGCAAUACUUAAGGCAAAUUCAUCUUGCUUAUAACUCUGGUGCAUGUGCAUUAAAAUACUAUUGCAUUGUAACUGAGUUUGUACCUAUUUUCUGCUUUCUGAUUAUUUCCUUUGUUCAUGAAAAUAAAUGACUGGUAUUACAAGGUCACCUAAAUAAAUAGGUUUGUGUACGUCUGCGACUAGAGAGAAAUA